rnacentral:misc_RNA from 1 species
UUAAGUUCAGCGGGUAGUCCUACCUGAUUUCAGAUGCCGCUAUGGAUAGGUUCUACUUGCGUAGUCCCCAAGAUUUCCUGCGACCAUGGAUUAAAUCGAUCCAUCUGACCUCCUUAGCAAGAAGUGAAUGAAGCCUUUGACAGCUCGUAUUACACUUUUGCGUGCGGAUGAGUCAAGAAAGACCGUCCAUGCUUUUAUUU